CAAGCUUGGGGGAGGCUUCUCCAAUUACUUAAUGCUUUGCCUGAUCAUCCUCUUAAGAAAAAUGAAAUACUUGAUUUCUUUUAUAAUGGACUAACCGAUGCCUCCGGAGAUUACCUGGAUAGUUGUGCUGGUUCUGUUUUCAGGGAAAGAACACUGGAUGAAGCUGAAAUUCUAUUGAAUAAUAUGUUGACAAAUGAAAAUAAUUGGACACCUCCGGAGCCAAUUCCCGAGCCUAUUCCUAAACCAACUCCGAAGAAGAGGGGUAUUCUAUUUCUCAGUCCUGAAGAUAUGCAAGAGGCAAAUAAAUCUAUGAAAGAGAAAGGUAUUAAAGCUGAAGGCGUUAAGAAUUUACCUCCUAUUGAAGAAAUACAUGGUCUUAAUUUA
rnacentral:rRNA from 1 species